AACCCCUCAGUUCUCCGGCGUCCAGUCCGGCCAUCGGUCAUCGUGCCGGCCGCCGAUCUCCAGCGCCGGCACUGCCGUAUGCGGUGGCCGAAAAAGGGAAAAACGCCUUAUUCGAUUCCCUUGACUUUACUAAACCCAAAUCUGGGUUCAAAGUUUCAAAAAACCACAGAAAACGCGACGAAAAAUCACAGAACCUUUCGGUUUCCGACCAUCGACCCGAGGAAUAGCUCCCUCAAUCGUCUCCGCAUCGUUUCAAAAUCGAAAACAGGUUGUUCCCUUCUUUUUAUUUAAUUUAUUCGCAUGCAAAUAAAAAAAUAAAAUGAAUAUAAUCUAACAAUAGAUAAAAAAAAUUGUUAAUAGCAACCUUUUGAAUCGAUUUAUGCCCUUCCCCUAUUUGAACUCUCUGUGUUGCAAAAAUAAUAGCUUUCUUUUUUUAUUAAUUUUCGGGGAUCAAUAUUACAGAAUAUCAAUGGCUCUUUUAUAGCCGAAGUAUCAACAAUAUAAAGAAACAAUUUUUGAUUUGGUUUGCAAAUCUUUUUCUUUCCAUAUACUGCUGCUUUCUUUCUUGAUGUGCAGGUACAACGAUCAUGCAGGGCUGCGGCGCGAACGAGGAAAGCUGUGGUUUACCCUAGAAACCCUAGGGUUUCUGAAAUUACUUGGGCCACUAAUUUUGGGCCUAUUUUGUUAUAAUCGGGUUUGGGUUAAUUGGGCCACUAUUUUGUCUUAUUAACUUGGCCAUACAAGCCUGCUUGUAAUUCGAGCCUUUUAGACCCGGGUAAAAUCGGGUAUUUACAGUAAAGAUAUAACAAUGUGGAUGAAAAAUCUUGUUAUGUACAAAUAUUAAA
rnacentral:lncRNA from 1 species